GAUCCUGGCUCAGGAUGAACGCUAGCUACAGGCUUAACACAUGCAAGUCGAGGGGAAACGACAUCGAAAGCUUGCUUUUGAUGGGCGUCGACCGGCGCACGGGUGAGUAACGCGUAUCCAACCUGCCCAUCACUUGGGAAUAACCUUGCGAAAGUAAGACUAAUGCCCAAUGACAUCCCACGAAGGCAUCCGAAUGGNUAAGAUUUAUCGGUGAUGGAUGGGGAUGCGU
rnacentral:rRNA from 1 species